CGUAGGUGGUUUGUCGCGUUGUUCGUGAAAUCUCACGGCUUAACUGUGAGCGUGCGGGCGAUACGGGCAGACUUGAGUACUGCAGGGGAGACUGGAAUUCCUGGUGUAGCGGUGGAAUGCGCAGAUAUCAGGAGGAACACCGGUGGCGAAGGCGGGUCUCUGGGCAGUAACUGACGCUGAGGAGCGAAAGCGUGGGGAGCGAACAGGAUUAGAUACCCUGGUAGUCCACGCCGUAAACGGUGGGUACUAGGUGUGGGUUUCCUUCCUUGGGAUCCGUGCCGUAGCUAACGCAUUAAGUACCCCGCCUGGGGAGUACGGCCGCAAGGCUAAAACUCAAAGAAAUUGACGGGGGCCCGCACAAGCGGCGGAGCAUGUGGAUUAAUUCGAUGCAACGCGAAGAACCUUACCUGGGUUUGACAUGCACAGGACGCCGGCAGAGAUGUCGGUUCCCUUGUGGCCUGUGUGCAGGUGGUGCAUGGCUGUCGUCAGCUCGUGUCGUGAGAUGUUGGGUUAAGUCCCGCAACGAGCGCAACCCUUGUCUCAUGUUGCCAGCGGGUAAUGCCGGGGACUCGUGAGAGACUGCCGGGGUCAACUCGGAGGAAGGUGGGGAUGACGUCAAGUCAUCAUGCCCCUUAUGUCCAGGGCUUCACACAUGCUACAAUGGCCGGUACAAAGGGCUGCGAUGCCGCGAGGUUAAGCGAAUCCUUUUAAAGCCGGUCUCAGUUCGGAUCGGGGUCUGCAACUCGACCCCGUGAAGUCGGAGUCGCUAGUAAUCGCAGAUCAGCAACGCUG
rnacentral:rRNA from 1 species